rnacentral:rRNA from 1 species
GCAAGUCGAACGGAUCCUUCGGGAUUAGUGGCGGACGGGUGAGUAACACGUGGGAACGUGCCUUUUGGUUCGGAACAACUCAGGGAAACUUGAGCUAAUACCGGAUAAGCCUUUCGAGGGAAAGAUUUAUCGCCAUUAGAGCGGCCCGCGUAGGAUUAGCUAGUUGGUGAGGUAAAGGCUCACCAAGGCUACGAUCCUUAGCUGGUCUGAGAGGAUGAUCAGCCACAUUGGGACUGAGACACGGCCCAAACUCCUACGGGAGGCAGCAGUGGGGAAUCUUGCGCAAUGGGCGAAAGCCUGACGCAGCCAUGCCGCGUGAAUGAUGAAGGUCUUAGGAUUGUAAAAUUCUUUCACCGGGGACGAUAAUGACGGUACCCGGAGAAGAAGCCCCGGCUAACUUCGUGCCAGCAGCCGCGGUAAUACGAAGGGGGCUAGCGUUGCUCGGAAUUACUGGGCGUAAAGGGAGCGUAGGCGGAUAGUUUAGUCAGAGGUGAAAGCCCAGGGCUCAACCUUGGAAUUGCCUUUGAUACUGGCUAUCUUGAGUACGGAAGAGGUAUGUGGAACUCCGAGUGUAGAGGUGAAAUUCGUAGAUAUUCGGAAGAACACCAGUGGCGAAGGCGACAUACUGGUCCGUUACUGACGCUGAGGCUCGAAAGCGUGGGGAGCAAACAGGAUUAGAUACCCUGGUAGUCCACGCUGUAAACGAUGAGUGCUAGUUGUCGGCAUGCAUGCAUGUCGGUGACGCAGCUAACGCAUUAAGCACUC